rnacentral:rRNA from 1 species
CCUACGGGCGGCAGCAGUGGGGAAUAUUGGGCAAUGGGCGCAAGCCUGACCCAGCAACGCCGCGUGAAGGAAGAAGGCUUUCGGGUUGUAAACUUCUUUUGACAGGGAAGAGCAGAAGACGGUACCUGUCGAAUAAGCCACGGCUAACUACGUGCCAGCAGCCGCGGUAAUACGUAGGUGGCAAGCGUUGUCCGGAUUUACUGGGUGUAAAGGGCGGGUAGCCGGGCUGACAAGGCAGAUGUGAAAUCCGGGGGCUCAACCCCCGAACUGCAUUUGAAACUGUUGGUCUUGAGUGCCGGAGAGGUAGGCGGAAUUGCUAGUGUAGCGGUGAAAUGCGUAGAUAUUAGGAGGAACACCAGUGGCGAAGGCGGCCUACUGGACGGUGACUGACGCUGAGGCUCGAAAGCGUGGGGAGCAAACAGGAUUAGAUACCCGGGUAGUC